GAUGAAGAACGUAGCGAAAUGCGAUAAGUAAUGUGAAUUGCAGAAUUCAGUGAAUCAUCGAAUCUUUGAACGCACAUUGCGCCCCCUGGUAUUCCGGGGGGCAUGCCUGUUCGAGCGUCAUUACAACCCUCAAGCUCUGCUUGGUAUUGGGCCCCGCCAGUUCUGGCGGGCCCUAAAGUCAGUGGCGGUGCCUUCCGGCUCCGAGCGUAGUAAUUCUUCUCGCUCUGGAGACCCGGUCGUGUGCUUGCCAGCAACCCCCAAUUUUUUUCAGGUUGACCUCGGAUCAGGUAGGGAUACCCGCUGAACUUAAGCAUAUCAAUAAGCGGAGGA
rnacentral:misc_RNA from 1 species